UCGUAACAUCUAUUAUAGCAUCGGGACUCAGAUCGAGUCUUUCGUAUUAUCUUCCCUCUCUUUUAAUUCUGUUCAUGUUUUCAAUGUUCCGGGACUCUUAAAAUACAACUUGCAUCGGGACUCUUAAUGCACGCGUAUCACUCUCUAACUCACGCACAAAUUAACCAAUAUUUAUUCUCCAACAAUUUCAUUCCCAAUUCGGUUUCUUUUGACUGAUAAUGCAGGUUGACACCUAAGAUACCAUAUCUGGCAAUAUCCAUGGAAAACUUGAUAGUUGUUUAAGGAGUAAGUGCAGGCUUUUCUUUGAGUUACUUAUGAAGUUCAUCUUAUGAGUAUUUCUUUCUCAAACUUAAUUGACAACUCUUGAAAGAUGCUGAAAUUGGAGAUGCUGCAAUUGGGAAAGCUCAGUCUACAUGGAAUCUUUUUGCUUGCUUCCUCUCGGUGAAUUUUCUAUAUUUGAAUUUGCAUCUUACAACAGCAUACUUAUCUUUUAAAUGAGUUUUCCCUAUUGUUGAGGAUGAGUUUGUGCACGUUUUGGGCGAGGAAGCAGAUUGGGUCCAUAUUAUAAUCUGGACCUUAUGUCUGAAAUUCGAAUUGGGAAACAAAAUUGAUUUUCUAUACUA